CCAGAGAAAGUCUAGAUCAGAUAUUAGGAAAAAUUUCUUCAUGGAAAGAGUUGCCAAGCAUUGGAACAGGCUGCCCAGGGAAGUGGAGUAACCACCCCUGGAGGUAUGUAAAAGAUGUGGAUGUGGUGCUUAAGGAUAUGGUUUAGUGAGU